UACAGAGGUGGCAAGCGUUGUUCGGAAUUACUGGGCGUAAAGGGCGCGUAGGCGGCCUUCUAAGUCAGACGUGAAAUCCCCCGGCUUAACCUGGGAACUGCGUCUGAUACUGGAAGGCUAGAGACUGGUAGAGGCGAGCGGAAUUCCUGGUGUAGCGGUGGAAUGCGUAGAUAUCAGGAAGAACACCGGUGGCGAAGGCGGCUCGCUGGGCCAGUUCUGACACUCAUCCGCGAAAGCGUGGGGAGCAAACAGG
rnacentral:rRNA from 1 species